UUGCAUGUGUCAUUCAUUAUAUUAUUAACGUUUCACCAAAAUCAAGUUUAAAUACUAAGUUUUGGAAUGUUUCGAAUGUUUUCCCCCGUCAUUAAGGACACAUUCGAAGGCAGUACGGGCAUCUACGGGCAUCAUGAAUUUGCAGGCUCCACAGCGUGUCUCUCUGGUCCAGGAGGGCUGAUUUAUUGCUGGUCUCUGGAUGACUGUGACCCUUCAGAGUGUCUCUGGUGAACUGAGGACUGGGCAGAUCACACACAACAGCCAGGAGAUCACACAACGCUGUCCUCGAGCUCACACAGUGAUACUGGAGAUGGCUGCAGCUUCAUUCUUAUGACUGGAUACAAUAGAAAGAAGGUUUAUUACAAUAAUCGGCUGAUGGUCAUGCAGAACAUGUGCUUUAUAAAGUGCUAAUAAUCAGCAAUGUGUUAAUAAUAGGCAUGUGUAUAAGCAGCUAGUUAAAAGUGAGAAAUGGUCCCUAUACUAAAGUGUUACCCAAAUGAUAUUUUUGCUUUAAAAACUGUGGUAAACAUUAUGUAAAAUGUUUAAUUUAAAUUGUGUGAUAUUAGCAAAAAUGAAUAAAUAUCACAAAAGGAAAUGUAGCUACUGUCAGUCUGUCACAAAUAUUUACAUGAACACUGGAUGCAUGCAGAGAUAGCAGUAAAGUUUGUGUGUCUCUCUCAGACAGUUCAGUGGAGCUGACAGACAGAAGUGAUUUCAGAGAUUUAAACAGAACAUGAUCUCUCGUCACCCAACACCAGCGGGGCACGGGACGCUUCAGUGUUACCUCCACACUGAAUAACACUGGGUUUCAAAGCACUUCGUGGGAAAUUAAAGUUUAUUUUCUAAAUGCAUGUUAUAUAUCUUUGAGUGAACAAUUAAUCUGUGCAUGUUUCAUUUUGUUAUUUUUGACCUUGUGAGUGUAAUAUUUAAUCAAAAUAUCAUAACUGGAUUUUCCAGUGAAAUGUUAGACUUCUCCAAUCACUGAGUGCUGUUACUCUCACCAUCAUCUGCAUACAUUAUUAUCUCAACAUCCAGUCAACAACUGAUACUGUACAUACAGUAGCACCAUUCUUUCUUUUUCAUACUCCACUGCACUAGGUUAUAUGACAGAAUACAGUAGAAAAGAUCUGUUACUUACAGUUCAUCAUGACUUUAAAACAAGGUUACUACAGUAACACUCUCUAGUGCUGUGGUUUUACCAUAACUACAGCACAGAACCACAGUGACAUGGCUCAUUUUCAGAUACUGUAUAUUUUACUUUUGCAUAUGUACAGUAUAUAGUUGCUCUUCAGAAAAAUUGAGCAGAAUAGCAACUUUUUUUAAUAAUAAUAAUUAAAAACAAUGGACACAUUACUGAAUAGACAUGUUUACAUUCUCUGAAUCAUCCUAUAUCUGAAAAACUUCGAAUCCUGGAAAUAAAAUAAAACUGUGUUCAGAAUAUCAUAUCAUCAUUCUGUC
ensembl:lncRNA